UACGGAGGGUGCGAGCGUUGUCCGGAAUCAUUGGGCGUAAAGGGCGCGUAGGUGGCCCGGCAAGCGUGCGGUGAAAGUCGGGGGCUCAACCCCCGAUCGGCCGUGCGAACUGCGGGGCUGGAGCACUGUAGAGGCUGGUAGAAUUCCCGGUGUAGCGGUGGAAUGCGUAGAGAUCGGGAAGAAUACCCGUGGCGAAGGCGGCCAGCUGGGCCAGGUCCGACACUGGAGGCGCGAAAGCGUGGGGAGCAAACAGG
rnacentral:rRNA from 1 species